rnacentral:rRNA from 1 species
CCUACGGGAGGCAGCAGUGAGGAAUAUUGGUCAAUGGGCGAAAGCCUGACGCAGCGACGCCGCGUGAGGGAUGAAGGUCUUCGGAUCGUAAACCUCUGUCAGCAGGGAAGAACGGUCACUGUGCUAAUCAGCAGUGAAUUGACGGUACCUGCAAAGGAAGCACCGGCUAACUCCGUGCCAGCCGCCGCGGUAAUACGGAGGGUGCGAGCGUUAAUCGGAAUUACUGGGCGUAAAGCGCUCGUAGGCGGUAUGUCAAGUCAAGGGUGAAAUCCCCGCGCUCAACGUGGGAACUGCCUUUGAAACUGGCAAACUGGAGUGUGUGAGAGGAUAGUGGAAUUCCAGGUGUAGGAGUGAAAUCCGUAGAUAUCUGGAGGAACAUCAGUGGCGAAGGCGACUAUCUGGCACAUAACUGACGCUGAGGAGCGAAAGCGUGGGUAGCAAACAGGAUUAGAUACCCGAGUAGUC